AAAAUCUCCAGUGAUAAUGAGCCACGAUGUUACACAGAAGAUGGAUCGCUAUUGAAGUUGAAUAUAACAAUCACCUAUGGACAUGUUUGAUACGGUGAUGGCUUCGGCUGGCCAACUUUCAGCUGUCAGUGUGUAGCUCUUGAAGGUACUUUUAAUCUUCAAAUCAAUGGCUUAUUGAAUAUCAGAAUAAAGCAACAACGCACUUGUCUGCUGAUUGGCUGGACAAUCCAAUACCUUAGCUCCAGCAAAACAAGAACAGUGGUUGCUGCCUAGCUGGAUUCUGCUCUUGGAUGGAUAUUGGCUGCGGUUGCCUUCAACAAGGAGAACAUUGCAACAGUGCUGGACUGCUAUAUAUAUAUAUAUAUAUAUAUAUAUAUCCGCUGAAAUGCUGCUAGUUUUGUUACUGCAGGGUUACUAGCAGCAUUUUUAUUUGUGUUGCUGCAUAUCUCGGGGGUUUGUUCUCAAUAUGUACUGCUGGCACUUCUACCGAGUCAUGAAGUCCCAUUUCUGGUGCAAGGGCCCGGCCAGAGGAGUCAAUGUUUUGCUCCUUUCACUGCGAUUCUGCAUUCCAUUGUGCCUGCCAUACUUGAGGUGGAUCCCAGUUUCAGUUAUGUUUCUACUGCAUUGCUACUUCUGAUAUUGGCGUUGCAGUCCUGUUGCCGCAACUGAUGCUGCUGCUGGUUCUGCUGUGUUUCUUUGGUUAGAUCUUUGGGUUGUUUUGCCCUUCUCUUGCAUUUUCAGUACUCUGAUAGAUAGCUGUUAGAUGCGAACUGCAAUUUUCUUUUCUUUUUUGUUGGUUCUGCUACAUUGUAAAUUCUUUGUCAUUAAUAAAAUUCUAUGAUUUUCUUUUCCAUCAAC